rnacentral:lncRNA from 1 species
GGGUUAAUAAAUGAUCAAAUCAACUAAGUAAAAGAAGCGUCAAAAGUUCUCCAUGUUGCAAAGAGGGAUUUAGCAUAAAUAUUUGUAAAACUCUAAGCAGCUUAUCUAUGUUGGUUAAACUUACGAAUUCGCUAAAAUUAAACUACUGUUAUUAAAGAUUGACUUGAAAGUUGAAGGAUGGUUUGUUCGAAAUCCAUAAAAAAAACUUAGUUUGAAGAAAACAGUCUAUGAUUUAAAAUGCAAUACAGCCAUAGUUACUUUUUGAAAUACUUACCAAGAUCUCGGACGAUUCCAAAUAGUUCACGAGUUAGAAAGUAGAUUUAAUGAAAAGGUUUCAAAUCUUCAUAAGUUCACAUUUUUGGCCUUUAAUCUAUAGAUCGAAUCCUAUGGGAUAAAUGGGUACUAUAUUGGCUAGCAGAAAAAUACAAAUAAUUAAAAAAGCUAAUUAUCAAACCCAUGCUCAACAUGAGAUAAACACAGACAAAUAAAUCAUCUGUGAUCAAGAAGUUAGACAAAACGAAUGUAAAAGAAAAAUAUAAGAAAGACGCCAUAGGCGCCCCCACGCGUUUUGCUUGUUUUCUUGCUAUCCGGUGCAUUCUAAGGAAGAUGACAUGUAAUGUGGACUCCAUGUGGUGGUGGUGGUAGUGUUGAGUCUUAAUGAAACUCCACUGCAAGAGUCGCGAAUUAAGACUCUGUUUGCUCCAAAGUGUACAUACAAAGAAAAGAGAAUAAAACAAGAAUUAGAAGGGGGAUUCGGUUCUUAAGCGUGCAUAAAGAAAUCAGGAUAAACGAAAACCAAAACAAACAAAACUACACAAUUAUUCAAAUUGUUACAACUGGUGAACCAUACUUCGCAAUUCUAUACCAACAGAAUUCACAUCUUUUCCUUUUCAAAGUGCAAAUAGACUCUUUAUGUUAAGUACUAUUCUUGUUUAAAGUUUCCUCAAUCAAUGGUAACAAAAUUUACUACAUAAACUGAAAAGGACAUAUCUUAAUGAUGAAAAGAAAAGAUAUAGGCCUGCCUUCUAUUACUGAUACAAAAGCACACUUAAAAUUCAUAUGACGUUUAGCUAGAACUUGAUUAUCUUGGAAUCGGUAUCCUAACGAAGACUUAUACAUUAGUUCAUCUAUGUCAUAAGUUGACGGGUAAGCAAGCAUCAUAAGUUUAUCUUCAAGUUCAUUUUAAUUAUCAAUAUGUAACAGAGCAGAUUCAGAUUUCUAACAGACGAGAAAAGGAAAUCAAACAAAAUCAUACGCUAAUAUCGAACCAGUCAUAUAUCAAGUUAUCCAUAAACCGGAAGGACCUAACCUUUGCUAACAGAAACAAAUGCAGCAGUAUUUUACAUUAAAGCAACAUUCCUAUUUUAGUAACAUCUUAUAGGAAUAUUCUAUGAUUUAACGAGACUCGACCCCCUAUACGAAUAGUCAAAGACAUGUUCGCACUUCCUUAAAGUCUCUCCAAAAUGAGCAAAAUAUACGUUAAUACUUGAGAAAGAUCUGUCAGCAUCCAUUUCAUUACGAGCUAUUUCAAACCAAACUUAACUCAUUAUAAAAUCCUUCCUAAAAUCAUAGAAUCUAACAGAGAAGUAUGCAAAAGGAAAUGGGUAUUUUCAUGUGAGCAUUUUAUCAAAUACUAGUGGGGCAUGCUUCUAACAAUACACAUAAGAACACAAUCUCCUUUAGAAUUAUUGCUAACAACUUCGGUCAUAGAAUCAUUCCCUUAAACAAACACAAAUUAGAGCCAUUUUUAUAGCAUCAAACAUAAAGGCUUAAUAGGAACUAACCCUCAAAGCAAACACGCACCAGGCAUGGAACGUACUGUAAUUACAAUCAAGACGAGAGCGAGAGGAGAAGAUACAGACCUUUUGCAGGGUAGCGAACUGAGGCGGGUCUUAACGCGCUAUCGAACUUCGAUCUCGACUUUACUCCUCCCUCUCGAACAAAAGCAGACUCGACUAAAUAAAUAGAGGAUAACCAAAUUUCUGCUAUGGUAAAUACCAAAUAGAAACAGUAGAGGUGUUGAAGUUAAAGCUUUUCUUUUGGAGAUAGCUAAUAGGCAAAGAGUGAAUUUUAGAGAGGAGAAGAGCGGUCAAAAAUUUGGUUUCGAAGGGUGAAGGCAGCGGCUCCCUCCCUUCUGUCAAUGGCCUCAAAACACCACUAUUUAUAAUGAAAAAUCUAGGGCUUAAUUCCUUGGUGGGAUUUGAAAUUCAAACGGCCAUAAGAGCCGUUAUGAAAAUCAAACAAAAGCUCUGAGAAAUCAGUUCUUCAGAAUUGGAGAAUCAAAAUUUCAGAAGUCUUUUGGCUUUAUCUGUUGACUGACCCGUUGAAGAAGAGAGAGAGAGGAGCGUUUUUGGAGAGAUUGAGUAGCAACAGACUCUGUUAAAAGUACGUUUUGCACAAAAAUGGAGUAAACAAAAUCUGUCCAUGGCUGAGGUUCCAUGGAAUUUAGACUAGAAGAGGAAAAGGGGGGAAGAAGACAACUGGGAGAUUAGGAAAAAUGUGAUAUCGUUAGACGCUAAGCGACAGCAUUUUAGUAGGAGUUCCAGAGGGUUCUACUGUUUGGGCUAAAGUGGAAGAUUUCGUUUGGGCCUGAUUUGGUUGGCUGAGUCCUGGGCUAGCUGAUGGACGAAUUUUGGACUUAAAAUGGUCUU